rnacentral:rRNA from 1 species
CCAUUAGAUGUUCUGGGCUGCACGCGCGCUACACUGAAGCUAUCAACACGUUUUCCCUCCCUGAGAAGGGCGGGUAACCUUUUGAAUCAGCUUCGUGGUAGGGAUCGGGGCUUGCAAUUGUUCCCCGUGAACCAGGAAUUCCUAGUAGACGCGAGUCAUAAGCUCGCAUCGAUUAAGUCCCUGCCCUUUGUACACACCGCCCGUCGCUACUACCGAUUGAACGUUUUAGUGAGGCAUUUGGACCGACGCAUCUCAGUUUAACCGCUGGUUUGUGUUGGAAAGACUUCCAAACUUGAGCGUUUAGAGGAAGUAAAAGUCGUAACA